UACGUAGGGGGCAAGCGUUGUCCGGAAUUAUUGGGCGUAAAGAGCGCGUAGGCGGUUCAGUAAGUCGAGUGUGAAAGCCCCCGGCUCAACUGUGGAGGGUCACUCGAUACUGAUCGACUUGAAGGCAGGAGAGGGAAGCGGAAUUCCCGGUGUAGUGGUGAAAUGCGUAGAUAUCGGGAGGAACACCAGUGGCGAAGGCGGCUUCCUGGCCUGUUCUUGACGCUGAGGCGCGAAAGCUAGGGGAGCAAACGGG
rnacentral:rRNA from 1 species